CAGUAGCCGCGGGAAUACGGAGGAUCCAAGCGUUAUCCGGAAUCAUUGGGUUUAAAGGGUCCGUAGGCGGUCUUGUAAGUCAGUGGUGAAAGCCCAUCGCUCAACGGUGGAACGGCCAUUGAUACUGCAGGACUUGAAUUAUUGGGAAGUAACUAGAAUAUGUAGUGUAGCGGUGAAAUGCUUAGAGAUUACAUGGAAUACCAAUUGCGAAGGCAGGUUACUACCAAUUGAUUGACGCUGAUGGACGAAAGCGUGGGUAGCGAACAGGAUUAGAGACCCCAGUAGUCCCUGUCUCUUUAUU
rnacentral:rRNA from 1 species